rnacentral:ncRNA from 1 species
GAAAUUGAGAGUUUGAUCCUGGCUCAGGACGAACGCUGGCGGCGUGCUUAACACAUGCAAGUCGAGCGAGCAGAUUCCCUUCGGGGAUGAAGCUAGCGGCGGACGGGUGAGUAACACGUGGGCAACCUGCCUUAUAGAGGGGGAUAGCCUUCCGAAAGGAAGAUUAAUACCGCAUAACAUCAGAUUAUCGCAUGGUAGACUGAUCAAAGGAGCAAUCCGCUAUAAGAUGGGCCCGCGUCGCAUUAGCUAGUUGGUGAGGUAACGGCUCACCAAGGCGACGAUGCGU